rnacentral:rRNA from 1 species
CGCGGCCUAUCAGCUUGUUGGUGGGGUAAUGGCCUACCAAGGCAUCGACGGGUAGCUGGUCUGAGAGGACGAUCAGCCACACUGGGACUGAGACACGGCCCAGACUCCUACGGGAGGCAGCAGUGGGGAAUCUUGCGCAAUGGGCGAAAGCCUGACGCAGCAACGCCGCGUGGGGGAUGAAGGCCCUCGGGUUGUAAACCCCUUUCAGCAGGGACGAAAAUGACGGUACCUGCAGAAGAAGCCCCGGCCAACUACGUGCCAGCAGCCGCGGUAACACGUAGGCACCAAGCGUUGUCCGGAUUUAUUGGGCGUAAAGAGCUCGUAGGCGGUUCAGUAAGUCGGGUGUGAAAACUCUGGGCUCAACCCAGAGACGCCACCCGAUACUGCUGUGACUUGAGUACGGUAGGGGAGUGGGGGAUUCCUGGUGUAGCGGUGAAAUGCGCAGAUAUCAGGAGGAACACCAGUGGCGAAGGCGCCACUCUGGGCCGUAACUGACGCGGAGGAGCGAAAGCGUGGGUAGCAAACAGGAUUAGAUACCCUGGUAGUCCACGCCGUAAACGCUGGGUACUAGGUGUUGGGAGGAUUGACCCCUUCAGUGCCGACGCUAACGCAUUAAGUACCCCGCCUGGGGAGUACGG